UAUAUCCACAAUAAAUAUAAAUUACAAUAGUUUAGACUGAAGAGUGCUAAACAAUACCCAUUAGCAGAAAACACUUUUAUAGCAUGUUUGGUUAGGUGUAAUGGUAUAGCCAUUACAACCCUAUUACGUGGGCCCACCUAUUCAGGUGUUUGGUUGGGUGUAAUGCCCUAUUACAGGCUUAUUACAUUACGCCUCUAUUAUGCCAAUUUUGCUGCUUUCUAUUCCCUUCGAUUUUCUCAGUUUAGCUUCCGUUUUAGCGGUCCCUCGACUCUUUCCAGCUCCCUCUCUGAACAAGUCUUUAACACCCAUUUCCCCAUUUCCCGUUUCCCCUCUUCCCCAAAUCAGAAUCCCUAACCCCGACUGCCCUCCUCCCUUUUUUCCUCAAUUCGAAAAUCAACCUUCACCUCCGGCACCAAUCCACCUCCGAUCCUCCACGGCUCCACCCAUUUCCAGAAUCAGAGGUUAGAGCGAAGCUACAAACGUCUUCUACCUUUGAAUUUCAAAGGUAUAUUAACAGUAUUUUUUUCCCUCUCUUUUAUGGUGCUUCUACUUUUGAUUUUCUGCCUGUAAUUCAUCAAAAUAUGUGUGAACUCGUAUGGAAAAUCUGACAACUUCCAACAAAUCCGGCAACCAAUUGCAGCAAACAUUGCUUCAUUUCAUUCUACGCCUAUUACCUGUGAAAAAUGGAAGAGCAAAUGGGAUUUUGUGAGUUCGGGGAGAGCUUGAAUUUAUAUUUUUAUUUGAAUGGCUGUAGAUAGGGUUUCUGAAAUUUCAAAUCCUUGAUUAGCUCUAAUUUGUGGCAUUUCUUAGAUGAAAGAAAUAGUCUUGUUCUCUGAUUGCUAUGUAAAUUAAUCUUUAAGGUCAAAAUUUGUGGCAGUUCUUGAGAUUUCUAUUGCUAGGCUUACACCCAGUCAUCUUUUCUUUGUUGUUGCAAGUGAUGGAGAUUUGAGUUUCUCUCAAGCCAAACUGUUGUCAACAUGGCCGCGGCAUACAAAGAUCCCAGCGAUGCUUGUGCUGCAAUUGCUGGAGACUCCUAUAAACGUUGGUUGGAGCUUGAAAAUCGAACUGAUGAUAUUACAAUCAUAAUUGUACAGAUCAAAGGCCUAUCAAAUGCAUGAACUAUUGAAAUCUUUCUCUGGUUAUUCAUGUUCUCAAUGUUUAAAGUUCAUUUUUUGUCGUAUGGCUUUGUCUUCCGGUCCUGUAUCUUUCUUAGAAGUGAGUGAAGAUCUUUUAAAAUUGUUCUGUAGAAAUUACCGCCUUGUACAUAAUUUGAAGUGAUUUGUCCAAUUAGCCUGGUUGAAGUACUACGGCGAGUCAUAUCUUGAUUUAGAAGGGAGUAGAAGUUUGGACUUAAUUGCUUAUUGUGCCUUGCAGUUGAUAUAACUUGUACAUUUGUACAUACUACCUAAUAGAAAAAUUUAGGAAAGUUCUAAUCUGGAAAAACUCUUUUUAGUGGUCAUGGAUUAUAAAAAGUGUGAUUAAUUUAUAAUUAUUCUUUGUAAUCUCUUGAUGUAUAUGUGUUAAUUUAAGGGGGGUGGUUUGCUCUUUUUUUCAUUAAUUGCAUUGUGAUUAACUAAUGUUCUCUGGGAUCCAGCAGUCGGGUGUUGGCACAACUGAUAGUGACGUACAUUCCAGACCUUGCCAAAUUGGCGGUUCCAUGAAUCAAAGCACUGCCAUUGUUCCACCACUGAUGCAUCAGAGGCCUUUGGAAUCGUUUGGUCACUCGAGCUGUAGUUUUCUGAGUUUAUAUAUAUAUUUGAGCCAUCUAUUCUUCAUUCACUAUGCAACCAGAUUAGUUGAUUUGCCUUAUACAUGGUUUCUCUAUUUUUCCACUUGUGUCAUUUUCUUUAUAGCUGUUCUAGCAUACAUACAACCAUUGGGUGAAACCUAUUGAUAUGGCUAACAUUUUCUUUAUAGUAGUCUCACUAUCUCUGUUUCUUGAUGAUUUUUUGUUUCAAAUGAAACCUAUUAGAGAAUAUGUCUUUGAAAGGUAGGAGAUAAAACAUUGGGUUGAAGCUUUUGCUUUUUCUUUUUUUUUCCUGCUAUGUCGUAAAAGGAAUCUUCUACUUCGAGUCAUUACUAGCAAACACAAAAUGCAUCAGUUGAUAUUUAAUACCGAUGUCUUCAUCAUUUAAUAUGCACCCAUGCUAAAUAAUCACGAGUCUUGCUAUCAGUCUAGAGAAGAAUAAAGAUACAUCAUAUUUCUUCAAAUAUAGAUGUUCGAAUCUAAACCAAAAGUUUUGUUUUGGCUGGUAUCAGGAUGUGGGUUAGCCGAAAAGAGCAAGCAGAAGUCGUUUUUGGCAUACAAGAUUCUCAUGGCUAAUGAUUUCAGCGCGUCAAGGACAUCUUGCUAAUGUAACAUAAUGAAAUUUGUCAAGGUGAAGGUACUUUAGCUCUGAUCUUGCACCUGUUAAUCCAAACAUGCGGAGAAAUCCAGCUUGAAGUUGAUUAUCAUGACUCGAUGAAACGGGUGGUCGGGGGAUUAGGAAAAUAUGUACUUUCUAUGUGAACUGUUUCCAGCAGUGCUGGGGUGAUAAGUGAGUGAGGCAGGGAUGAUGAUACCAUUGAUAUGGCUAACUUCCCACGAUGUAGUCUGUAAAUUUCAUGAUUGUAUUGAUACCAAAACUACAUAAUGAUAAAACCUAAGGUUUUAUAAUCUA